GAUGCCAGUAGUGUUUUUGAUUCCAUAAAGGGACAACACUUGAAACACUUGCAGGAGUGGUUUCCCUGGUAGAUCCAGAGGUGGAUCAAUCAAGGCCUUUCCUAUGACCAUAAAACCAUUGCGAAACAGUAAGAGACAUGGGGAGCUGCUAGGAGAUCAACAAUUUGAUGCUAUUUAGUUGAGGUCAGGUCUUUGGUGAAUGGAGAUGUUUUUAAGCUCUAUAUUUUGUUGCUAAAUGUUGCUAAUGUUCCAAUUUUUUGGUGUGAGUAUGUUAGGAGUUGUUUUGAUAGGUUUUUGAUGUAUACAGCUAGGGAAUUUUAUGUUUUUUUUGGUGUGAUGUAAUGAGAGAUACUCUUCAUUUUAUUCUUUGGUUGGGGAUUUUGAUGAUUAUCUGUAAGUAGAUUGUAAUCACCCAUUUUUUCAAGAAUGUAUUGCUCGGUUGGGGUCUUCUUUCAAGACUCAAUCCUUUCUCUUAAGAAGACAUGAGAAGAGCUUGACUUCAUAGUGAUUAACCGAUGCUAGAUAAUUGUCUAUGCUACUUGACAUGUAUUUU